rnacentral:rRNA from 1 species
UGGUACUUGAGAUAACGUAAGGGAAAAAAAUGAUAGUACCUUACUAUAAGUGUUGUCCAAUUAACUGGUGCCAGAAGACUCGGUAACGCCAGAAACGCAAACGUUAGUCGUCCUAAUCAGGCGUAAAGGGUAAGUAGGCUGCUUUAAAAGUUAUUAUAUAAAAAGCUCUUUAAUUAACAAAAGUAUAGUAAUAAUGAAUUAAAGCUAGAAUCAAAUAGAGGAUAAGCCAAAUAAUAUUUAGAGUAGGGGUGAAAUCCUUAGAUACUAAAUGGAAUACUAAAGGUGAAAACAUUUAUCUAAAAUUGAUUGACGCUGAGGAACGAAGGUGAGAAUAGAAAAUAGGAUUUGAGACCCAGAUAUCUCUCACUGUCAACGAUGAAUGGUGGUUGUUAGUUUUAAAAAAAACUAGUAACGAUGUUAACGCGAUAACCAUUCCGCCUUGCGAGUACG